rnacentral:rRNA from 1 species
GCAGGCCUAACACAUGCAAGUCGAGCGGUAGCACAAGGGAGCUUGCUCCCUGGGUGACGAGCGGCGGACGGGUGAGUAAUGUCUGGGGAUCUGCCUGAUGGAGGGGGAUAACUACUGGAAACGGUAGCUAAUACCGCAUAACGUCGCAAGACCAAAGUGGGGGACCUUAGGGCCUCAUGCCAUCGGAUGAACCCAGAUGGGAUUAGCUAGUAGGUGGGGUAAUGGCUCACCUAGGCGACGAUCCCUAGCUGGUCUGAGAGGAUGACCAGCCACACUGGAACUGAGACACGGUCCAGACUCCUACGGGAGGCAGCAGUGGGGAAUAUUGCACAAUGGGCGCAAGCCUGAUGCAGCCAUGCCGCGUGUGUGAAGAAGGCCUUAGGGUUGUAAAGCACUUUCAGCGAGGAGGAAGGAUGAAGUGUUAAUAGCACUUGAUAUUGACGUUACUCGCAGAAGAAGCACCGGCUAACUCCGUGCCAGCAGCCGCGGUAAUACGGAGGGUGCAAGCGUUAAUCGGAAUUACUGGGCGUAAAGCGCACGCAGGCAUGUGGUUUAAUUCGAUGCAACGCGAAGAACCUUACCUACUCUUGACAUCCAGAGAAUUAGCCAGAGAUGGCUGAGUGCCUUCGGGAGCUCUGAGACAGGUGCUGCAUGGCUGUCGUCAGCUCGUGUUGUGAAGUGUUGGGUUAAGUCCCGCAACGAGCGCAACCCUUAUCCUUUGUUGCCAGCGAUUCGGUCGGGAACUCAAAGGAGACUGCCGGUGAUAAACCGGAGGAAGGUGGGGAUGACGUCAAGUCAUCAUGGCCCUUACGAGUAGGGCUACACACGUGCUACAAUGGCGUAUACAAAGAGAAGCGAGCCUGCGAGGGGAAGCGGACCUCAUAAAGUACGUCGUAGUCCGGAUUGGAGUCUGCAACUCGACUCCAUGAAGUCGGAAUCGCUAGUAAUCGUAGAUCAGAAUGCUACGGUGAAUACGUUCCCGGGCCUUGCACACACCGCCCGUCACANCCAUGGGAGUGGGUUGCAAAAGAAGUAGGUAGCUUAACCUUCGGGAGGGCGCUUACCACUUUGUGGUUCAU